CAGAGCACCAUUAAAUCCAUUAUUUAAAAAAUGGAAAGAAUAUGGCACCACAACAAACCUGCCAAGAGAGGGCCGCCCACCAAAACUCACAGACCAGGCAGAAGGAGGGCAUUAAUCAGAGAGGCAACAAAGAGACCAAAGAUAACCCUGAAGGAGCUGCAAAGCUCCACAUCGGAGAUUGAAGUAUCUGUCCAUAGGACCACUUUAAGCCGUACACUCCACAGAGCUGGGCUUUAUGGAAGAGUGGCCAGAAAAAGCCAUUGCUUAAAGAAACAAACAAGCAAACACGUUGGUGUUCACCAAAAGGCACGUGGGAGACUCCCCAAACAUAUGGAAGAAUGUACUGUGGGAGACUCCCCAAACAUAUGGAAGAAGGUACUGUGGGAGACUCCCCAAACAUAUGGAAGAAGGUACUGUGGGAGACUCCCCAAACAUAUGGAAGAAGGUACUGUGGGAG
ensembl:lncRNA